AUUGAACGCUGGCGGCAGGCCUAACACAUGCAAGUCGAACGAGUGGCGGACGGGUGAGUAAUGUCUGGGAAACUGCCCGAUGGAGGGGGAUACCUACUGGAAACGGUAGCUACUCCCGCAUACCAUCGGAUGUGCCCCGAUGGGAUUAGCUAGUAGGUGGGGUAACGGCUAACCUAGGCGACGAUCCCUAGCUGGUCUGAGAGGAUGACCAGCAACACUGGAACGGAGACACGGACCAGACUCCUACGGGAGGCAGAAGUGGGGAAUAUUGCACAAUGGGCGCAAGCCUGAUGCAGCCAGGCCGAGUGUAUGAAGAAGGCCUUCGGGUUGUAAAGUACUUUCAGCGAGGAGGCGUUACUCGCAGAAGAAGCACCGGCUAACUCCGUGCCAGCAGCCGCGGUAAUAC
rnacentral:rRNA from 1 species